UACGGAGGGUGCAAGCGUUUAUCCGGAUUCACUGGGUUUAAAGGGUGCGUAGGUGGGCAGUUAAGUCAGUGGUGAAAUCUCCGGGCUCAACCCGGAAACUGCCAUUGAUACUAUCUGUCUUGAAUAUCGUGGAGGUAAGCGGAAUAUGUCAUGUAGCGGUGAAAUGCUUAGAUAUGACAUAGAACACCAAUUGCGAAGGCAGCUUACUACCCGAAUAUUGACACUGAGGCACGAAAGCGUGGGGAUCAAACAGG
rnacentral:rRNA from 1 species